rfam:Candidatus Roizmanbacteria bacterium RIFOXYD1_FTLL_38_12 RIFOXYD1_FTLL_OP11_Roizmanbacteria_38_12, whole genome shotgun sequence.
UUUUUUAAGAGUUUGAUCCUGGCUCAGGAUGAAUGCUAGCGGCGUGCUUGAGAUAUGCAAGUCGAGCGCCCCGCUCAAUCCCCGCAAGGGGGCUGAGCGGGAGCGGCGGACGGCUGAGUAAUAUACAGGAACCUGCCCCCUAAUAGAGGAUAGCCCAGCGAAAGUUGGGGUAAUACUUUAUGGUCUCCGCCUUUGGCGGGGUAAAGAGCUUAACUGCUCGUUAAGGGAUGGGCCUGUAUCCUAUCAGGUAGUUGGUGAGGUAAUAGCUCACCAAGCCUAUGACGGGUAGCUGAUCUUAGAGGAUGAUCAGCCAGAGGGGGACUGAGACACGGCCCCCACUCCUACGGGAGGCAGCAAUCAGGAAUAGUCGGCAAUGGACGAAAGUCUGACCGCGCGACGCCGCGUGUAGGAAUAAGCUUUUCGGAGUGUAAACUACUGUGGUAGGGGAAGAAGUUCCGCCGUAAGGCGGAAUUGACGGUACCCUGCUAGAAAGGAGCCGCUAACUGCGUGCCAGAAGCGUCGGUAAUACGUGGGCUCCAAGCAUUAUCCGGUUUUAUUGGGCGUAAAGGGUCGUGUAGGUGGCUUGAUAAGUUAUCUUUGAAAUUCCAAUGCUCAACAUUGGAAUUGGAGAUAAGACUGUUAAACUAGAGUUUUCUUUAGGGGGACUGGAACUCAAGGAGGAGUAGUGAAAUGCGUUGAUACCUUGGGGAACACCAAUGGCGAAGGCAAGUCCCUGGGAGAAAACUGACACUGAGACACGAAAGCUAGGGGAGCGAAGCAGAUUAGAGACCUGCGUAGUCCUAGCCCUAAACGAAUGUCUGCUACCUGCAUGAUGUUAGCUUUUAGCUAGUAGUUAAGAACUAUGAGCUGAGAGCUAAUAUCGUGUGGGAAAGGUAACCCGUUAAGCAGACCGCCUGGGGAGUACGACCGCAAGGUUAAAACUCAAAGGAAUUGGCGGGGAGGCACACAACCAGUGGAACAUGUGGUUCAAUUCGAUACGAACCGAAGAACCUCACCAAGGUUUGACAUGCUAGCGUCCAGCUUUCCGUAAUGGGAGAGUGUUCGCAAGAAGGCUAGCACAGGUGCUGCAUGGCUGUCGUCAGCUCGUUCCGUGAGGAGUGCCCUUAAGUGGGACAACGAGCGCAACCCCCAUCUUGUGUUAUAUUUGUCACAAGAAACGGUCCCAGCUUUGCUGGGAAGGAAGGAGGGGCAGACGUCAAGUCAGCAUGGUCCUUAUACCUUGGGCUACACACAUGUUACAAUGGAGGAGACAAUGAGUCUUGCCACGUUGCAAAACGGAGCAAAUCUCAUAAACUCAUCCUCAGUGGGGAUUGAGGUCUGCAACUCGACCUCAUGAACGCGGAAUUGGUAGUAAUCGUGGGUCAGUCACACCACGGUGAAUACGUUCUUGCCUCUUGCACACACCGCCCGUCAAGCCAACAAAGUCGUGAAUAUCUGAACUUCGCCGCAAGGCGGGGGAGGAUACUUUCGGCGAUGGGGGUUAAGUCGUAACAAGGUAUCCGUUCUGGAAGGAGCGGAUGGAUCACCUCCUUU